GGGGAUAUAGCUUCACGGUAGAGUGCUUGUCUAGCAUACAUGAAGCCCUGGGUUCGAUUCCUCAGUAUCACAU
rnacentral:tRNA from 1 species